rnacentral:rRNA from 1 species
AUUGAACGCUGGCGGCAUGCCUUACACAUGCAAGUCGAGCGCGAAAGGGGGCAACCCCGAGUAGAGCGGCGGACGGGUGAGUAACACAUCGGAACGUGCCCAGUAGUGGGGGACAACCUCGAGAAAUCGAGGCUAAUACCGCAUAUGACCCACGGGUGAAAGCGGGGGACCCAAAGCAACUGAGGGCCUCGCGCUAUUGGAGCGGCCGAUGUCCGAUUAGCUAGUUGGCGGGGAAGAGCCCACCAAGGCGACGAUCGGUAGCUGGUCUGAGAGGACGACCAGCCACACUGGGACUGAGACACGGCCCAGACUCCUACGGGAGGCAGCAGUGGGGAAUUUUGGACAAUGGGGGCAACCCUGAUCCAGCCAUGCCGCGUGCGGGAAGAAGGCC